UCUUUCGGAGAGUUUGAUCCUGGCUCAGGACGAACGCUGGCGGCGUGCCUAAUACAUGCAAGUCGAGCGGAUUGAUGGGAGCUUGCUCCCUGAAAUCAGCGGCGGACGGGUGAGUAACACGUGGGUAACCUGCCUGUAAGACUGGGAUAACUCCGGGAAACCGGGGCUAAUACCGGAUAGUUCUUUUCCUC
rnacentral:rRNA from 1 species